UGUUGUUUUCGGACAACGGCCAAUGUCAGACGAGUCUGAGACUGACGCCUUUGGGUGACUCGUCAUAAAACCAUUGUAACCUGAGAGAUGGUGCCUUUGGGCGGUACACCCGUUUAUCCUUUGAAAACGGGUAUCACUGAUUACAGUGAUGAAGGUGCAU
rnacentral:sRNA from 23 species